UACGUAGGGGGCAAGCGUUGUCCGGAAUCAUUGGGCGUAAAGCGCGUGUAGGCGGCUUGGUAAGUCCGCUCUGAAAGCCCGGGGCUCAACCCCGGGAGGCGGGUGGAUACUGUCAAGCUCGAGUCCGGAAGAGGCGAGUGGAAUUCCUGGUGUAGCGGUGAAAUGCGCAGAUAUCAGGAGGAACACCACUGGCGAAGGCAGCUCGCUGGGACGUGACUGACGCUGAGACGCGAAAGCGUGGGGAGCAA
rnacentral:rRNA from 1 species